UCCCCCACCCCACAAUGCUCUCCUUUAUCCAAUCGAUAACAGGAUUAUGGUGACGCAACCAAGGGUAACCCAGAACUAGCGGCGUGAGCGGAGCUUGGAACACAUAUAGUUGUAUGGUCUCGGAAUGAUUACCUGAGAGAGUCAGUAAAACGGGCUCAGUGAUAUGAGUGAUGUUAGGAAGCCGCUGGCCACUGAGGGCGGUGACCUGGAGUGACCGUGGCAAAGGCUCGGUGUUAAGAUGUAAUCGUCGGGCCAGCGAAGCGUCAAUAAAGUUCUGUUCCGCCCCUGAAUCGAUCAGAGCCUUAAGAGCGUGGUCCUGAAGCUGCACCGUUAAUUUAGCUGCUAGCAUGAGCCGUGGAGGAGACUGUGAAACAGAGACCUCGCCCACCCGUAUUCCCCUCUCUACUGGCGGGCACGGCCUUUUGGCAGUGACGGACAAACAUUGGCGAUAUGACCCUUACGGCCGCAAUAAAAACACUCACCGGCCCUCCACCGACGGUGCCGUUCCUCGGGUGAAAGGCGAGAGCGACCCAGUUGCAUAGGUUGCUCACCCUCCUCCAUGUUGUGCAACUCUGAAUCUCUUCCGCCAUUCGUGGCGCUUCCGCCCGAUGCUGCCUCGCCGCGGCCCAGAGACCUUUGGGAAACGUAGUCCUCAGUUCUGCGGCACGCACGUAAAUGCUCGUCCACCUUCACACACAACGUUAUCACAUCAGACAAAGUUUUAAGUAACUCUCUCAUCACUAGUUCGCCCUUUAACUCCUCACACACAUUAUUCAACAAGGUGCUUAUCAAUGCAGGCUGCCCCCACCCGGUCUCUUCGGCCAGCGUCCAGAACUCAAUGGAGUAUUCCGCCAUACUUCGUCUUCCCUGCUUAAGAUUUAGUAAACGGUGAGCUGCUGCGUCAGCGCCAGUACCCCUUUCAAACAGACAUUUGAAUUUAGCAAGAAAAUCCUGCUACGAGAUGCUGGCGUGCGUUCUCAAAACAGCUUGAGCCCAGUUUAAAGCCGGUCCGCGUAACAGCUGGACAAAAAAGGCAAUCUUAGCGUCAUCGGUUUCAUACGUCCUCCGUAACUGUCUAAACUGCAUGGUUAUUUGGGUCAGAAAACCAGCACACUUGUGAAACUCACCCGUGAAGGGUUCAGGUGUUGGCAAAGCUCGCUCCGGGGGCUCCAAGGGAGUGGGAUGAGGCGAAGCCGAAGAUCCGGGUGCCGAAGGCUCAGAAGCCGGUAACUGUGAGGAGACAGAGGGAGGAGAGGCUGCUGGGCUUACCAGGGGUAUGCGCUGAGCAAAAGCCUGCGUUAGAGUGGCCAACUGCUGAUUGAGGAGCUGCAGCAUUUGCUCGUGGCGUUCCAAAACCUCCUCGGCCGUGGGGACGCGCUGCUGGGCGGCAGAGUCCGCUGAGUCCAUAUUCUGGCUGGAUCAUUAUGUUACGGUUCAGUGUAGGGCACUCAAACGCAGGACUCCUGAAUCUGCUGAACACAAGGGUUUAUUUACAGAGGUCACCAAUGUGUAUAUACAGAGAGUGCGGGGUAGUGCUAUGUACAGAAAUGUGAGGGAACUGAGAUGACAAACAGCUGGAGAAUCACGGACUCCAGCUCAGAGGGCAGAGUUAUCAUGUUGGUGCUCUGCCAGUUUCUAAAGAGGUUUGCACAGAGCAUGAAGAGAAAGGCUACAGAGGAAGAGAGCAGCAGUAUAAACCCCACUCCACCAAAGAAACACUUCAGACUGUGAAGCCUUUCUCAGAGAACUUAUUUCCUGAAGACUCUUUAAUAGUUUUAAGACUUUGGCACUGCUUUUGUGAACUGUGUUGGACAAAUGGCAGGGCUGUGGACUGGAUCUUGAACGAGGAACAUCUAUUGUAGAGCCAAGUGUAAAUCUGUGCAAAACGAACUAAGGAUCCAUAAAGACAGUGCCAAGUGUACAUUAUCCUCUGCUGCAUCUCACACAUCAGCAAGAACCAACACAGUGAAUCUGGUGAAAAGGAGAAACAAAAAGAGACACACCACAAACGAGUUUCCCUGACUAACAUGAGAGGAGCAGUAACUGCAUAAGGAGGAAGAAACAGAAGCAUCCAAAGACAACUGAGAGUCUUCAGUGCACCGUGAACAGCAGUCACCUCAGAGCAACAGAGUCCUCGUGGCUCUCUGGGUUCUCUCCAGGAGCUUGGAGAUAAGAUACCAUAACUUAAAAAAAAUGUUUAGAAUAAGUGUGAGCCUCUUUUACAACUUUACUUACAUCCUUCAAAUGUAAGAGCUGCUGGCACGUCUGGUGAGGGUUUGCCCACACCUAAUCUAAACCGAGCUUUAGUCCCUCUUGUACUUUGUUGAGUAUUGGCUUCAGCUGCACCAGUGCCUGCAAUGUGAGGUCAUUAAUAGACAGGGAGGAAAUAAUAGUUGAAUUAAUUCUGAAUGAAGACGUCAUGCCAAAUAUUCUUUGAUAGCCAUUACAGUCAUGAAUACACAGACUUUAUGAUUGCUUUUUUUCUUGUCAACAUGUAUUGUUCCUAAAUAACCACGGGCCACAACUGGAUCAGAUAGUACCAUCAUUUCUCUUCAUCUGCAUUUUUGAUCUGGAAGCAGAAACAACAAUAACGAGGAGAAAUGGAAUUUUUAUAUUUAAGAACGAGGACUGUGUGGAGGAGAGCCGAGUCAGGUGACAGGUUGUUCACCUGAUCAACAAGCUGGAGUCAGAACCUGUGAUUUAUCCUCCCUGACUAUUGAGUUAUGUUUUAUGCUGAUGUUAUUUUCUUGUUUUGAGCCAAACCAGAUUUCUCUAUAGGAACUCUGUGUUAAAGGGUCAAUGCACCAAAUUAUGCUUUGAUAAGAGUUCAUUUCUCAUGCAAGGAAAGACACAAACUUCUCAGAGGGAUUAGUAGUGGGCACAAGUUAAAUGAGCUCAUAUCACUACGUUGGCUUUAUCAGCCCUGCACAGAACAGAUCGGUCUCAGACUUUUAGAUUCUCUUAAAUAAGUAGAAUCUGAAACUGAAGGUUUUAGAUUAAAUCUGAUUCCUAAAUCAAGAAGUAAAGCUUAAAGAAUAACCUAAGUUUGUAAUUUGGAACAAAGUUGUGUUAACUAAAACUAUCUUGAACUAAGGAAGGUUAAGUGUGACCUUCUUAGCUGCAAACCUAGAACUGGUCUAGUAGCUUUUAUAUCUGUCUUACUGUGACAUAAGUGCUGCAAAAGGGGUUUAUUUCUCUCUCUCUAUCUCUCAGUCCCUCUCUCCAAUUUUACCGUAUUUUCUCUAUAUAUGAUGUAGGUUUGGAUUUUCCCUGCUAAAUUGUGAUGGUCUGGCAGUCUCCAUCGGUCGAGCUGCCUCGUGCCAGUUUAUGGGCGUCAUCAGGCCGGAAGGUGUUUCCCGUGUUGAAGCCGCCACACCUGUCUUCCAUCUAGAUUGGCCACUACUUAACUGAGCUUCAGUCAACGCUGGAUCGUUGAGUUACCGAGAACUUGGAGAGGAGUGUGUCAGAGGAGCGAAGUAUUUGUAAAUGUCGAGUGUUGGAGUUGUUUGCCUGUCACACCUGGACCACGAGCACAGUCCUGCAGGAUGGGAAAGUCCUGCAUUGGGGCCUCGUUCUCACCACGCACCUUAACAUUGUCUGAGCCUGAGCCUUUUCAAGGUUCUGUUUUGCCAACUGACCCGCUACAUACAGUCUGUGCCAAAAACCAUUAACGUAAUCUAUCAAGUUCACUGGUGGUUCACCUGAUAACCACUUAUCGCACAGCACUGUCAAGGGUCCCUGAACUUUGUGGCCAAAGACCAAAUCAUUUGGGCUAAACCCAGUACUCUCCUGGCACACUUCUCACGCUGCCAACAGAAGCCACGGCAAACCUUCCUCCCAGUCACUCUUCAUUUCUGUGCAACAGGCACGUAACAAGGACUUCAGCAUUUGAUGGACGCGCUCUAAAGCACCUUGGCUCUGUGGAUGAUAAGGAGAGGCUUUGUUAUGUGUGAUGUUCAACAGCUUGAGAACUUGUGGAAAUAGAUUUGACGAAAAGUUUGAUCCCUGGUCACUCUGAAUAAUCUUCGGUAUGCCAAAUAAUAAACACUUUGAUUGAGAACCUGCAUUUUGUGUUUACUAAGAAUCGUUUUGGAAAUGUAAUUAAUGAUCAAAUGGUAUCAACAACAACAAUAAUAGUAAUAAUAAUGGUCCUAAGACUGAUAAUGAUUACUAUUAGUAUUAAAAGUUUCACUUUCUCCACUUCACCAUGAAGUAAACUUGUUUAUUUGCAAAGAGAAAUAGAGGCAUGGCAGUAUAUGGAUGAUUCAGAUUCAGAAGGUGAGGACCAAUUCAAACUUUUUAUAUUUUGUGUUUAUUGGUUCUUGGAACAUUCAGAGAAUACUCUGAUCACAUUAUUGAAGUUUACAGAUACAGUUACAGUACAUCUGUAUGUGCACAGCUGUGGUCCAGUGUAGUUAUGUGGAGCCUCAGCAAAGACGAAUAUUGUCAGAAACGUCAGUGUUAUUGUUUCACUGGAUUUAAAAAAAAAUGUAUUUAAUAUAACUGAAAAUGAAUAGGAAACCUAUAACAGAUGAUUCAACACAUUAACCUUAAUAAGCAAUCGUACUGGCAAUGAUUGCUCGCACUAAGUCAGUCAUCCAUCAAGAAUGCAGUGUUUAUUUAAGGUUUUGUUUCUUUUAUUACACUCUCAGCUGACAUGCGGUUUUCAAACAUUACCUUUAAACUGUUUAAUAUAGCGGUCAUGCCAUCCACUCACCUUUUAUCUUUAAUAGUUUUUGAGAUGUUGGUGAAAAAAGUGUUCAUGACAGUGCAGAUUUCUGGCAUUUUGUGUAAAUUUAAGCACGUAAGAAUUGGAUUAUUUCUAAUAAAAACAGAAUGUGAAACUGA